CUUAGUUUUAAUUCUUUAAUUUACUUGAAAUCAUAAACUAAGGUGUCUACAAAUUAACAAUAAUUUUUGUAACUAACAAUACCAUAUUAUUGACUCUUAACAUACUAACUAGGUAGAAAAUUCUAUUGUCACACAAACUAAUGUGUCUACAAACACACACUUACGUAUGAGCUAUACUAGUAUAUGAUGUUAUGUGGUGAAGAUACAUGAUACUUGGCACAUAAUUUCGUCGCGCACGUGGAAGCGAUAAGGUCUGUGUACAGUCUUCUGUUCCUAUUUAUUGCCUCUGUAUUGUACGAAAACGCAUGAAAUUAUAGAGGGACCACGAAGCUAUCGAGGACGAUAAUAUGUGAAUCAAAUGAAGAAAAGCAUUCGUUGGUACAUAAAUUAUUGUCGGUAACUUGGGCUUACUUUAUAUAUCACCCAUAGUUUUUUUUAUAAGAAAAAACAAUAUAUUCUCUAA